rnacentral:rRNA from 1 species
GGGUUGUGAGGUUAAGCGACUAAGCGUACACGGUGGAUGCCCUGGCAGUCAGAGGCGAUGAAGGACGUGCUAAUCUGCGAUAAGCGCCGGUAAGGUGAUAUGAACCGUUAUAACCGGCGAUUUCCGAAUGGGGAAACCCAGUGUGAUUCGUCACACUAUCAUUAACUGAAUCCAUAGGUUAAUGAGGCGAACCGGGGGAACUGAAACAUCUAAGUACCCCGAGGAAAAGAAAUCAACCGAGAUUCCCCCAGUAGCGGCGAGCGAACGGGGAGGAGCCCAGAGCCUGAAUCAGCAUGUGUGUUAGUGGAAGCGUCUGGAAAGGCGCGCGAUACAGGGUGACAGCCCCGUACACAAAAGCGCAUGUGCUGUGAGCUCGAUGAGUAGGGCGGGACACGUGGUAUCCUGUCUGAAUAUGGGGGGACCAUCCUCCAAGGCUAAAUACUCCUGACUGACCGAUAGUGAACCAGUACCGUGAGGGAAAGGCGAAAAGAACCCCGGCGAGGGGAGUGAAAAAGAACCUGAAACCGUGUACGUACAAGCAGUGGGAGCACCCUUCGGGGUGUGACUGCGUACCUUUUGUAUAAUGGGUCAGCGACUUAUAUUCUGUAGCAAGGUUAACCGUAUAGGGGAGCCGGAGGGAAACCGAGUCUUAAUUGGGCGUUAAGUUGCAGGGUAUAGACCCGAAACCCGGUGAUCUAGCCAUGGGCAGGUUGAAGGUUGGGUAACACUAACUGGAGGACCGAACCGACUAAUGUUGAAAAAUUAGCGGAUGACCUGUGGCUGGGGGUGAAAGGCCAAUCAAACCGGGAGAUAGCUGGUUCUCCCCGAAAGCUAUUUAGGUAGCGCCUCGUGAAUUCAUCUCCGGGGGUAGAGCACUGUUUCGGCUAGGGGGCCAUCCCGGCUUACCAACCCGAUGCAAACUGCGAAUACCGGAGAAUGUUAUCACGGGAGACACACGGCGGGUGCUAACGUCCGUCGUGAAGAGGGAAACAACCCAGACCGCCAGCUAAGGUCCCAAAGUCAUGGUUAAGUGGGAAACGAUGUGGGAAGGCCCAGACAGCCAGGAUGUUGGCUUAGAAGCAGCCAUCAUUUAAAGAAAGCGUAAUAGCUCACUGGUCGAGUCGGCCUGCGCGGAAGAUGUAACGGGGCUAAACCAUGCACCGAAGCUGCGGCAGCGAACGUAUCACCCAAGACAACUUUACGGAGUUGACGAUUGACGGAGCGAAGCGACGUCAAAGCGUUCAUUAAAGUCGAGUUGGCUUAGGGAUACGUUCGUUGGGUAGGGGAGCGUUCUGUAAGCCUGUGAAGGUGUGUCGUGAGGCAUGCUGGAGGUAUCAGAAGUGCGAAUGCUGACAUAAGUAACGAUAAAGCGGGUGAAAAGCCCGCUCGCCGGAAG